rnacentral:rRNA from 1 species
AGUCAGAGCGGAUGAGAAGAGCUUGCUCUUCGAUUCAGCGGCGGACGGGUGAGUAAUGCCUAGGAAUCUGCCUGAUAGUGGGGGACAACGUUUCGAAAGGAACGCUAAUACCGCAUACGUCCUACGGGAGAAAGCAGGGGACCUUCGGGCCUUGCGCUAUCAGAUGAGCCUAGGUCGGAUUAGCUAGUUGGUGGGGUAAUGGCUCACCAAGGCGACGAUCCGUAACUGGUCUGAGAGGAUGAUCAGUCACACUGGAACUGAGACACGGUCCAGACUCCUACGGGAGGCAGCAGUGGGGAAUAUUGGACAAUGGGCGAAAGCCUGAUCCAGCCAUGCCGCGUGUGUGAAGAAGGUCUUCGGAUUGUAAAGCACUUUAAGUUGGGAGGAAGGGCAGUAAGCGAAUACCUUGCUGUUUUGACGUUACCGACAGAAUAAGCACCGGCUAACUCUGUGCCAGCAGCCGCGGUAAUACAGAGGGUGCAAGCGUUAAUCGGAAUUACUGGGCGUAAAGCGCGCGUAGGUGGUUUGUUAA